GAUGAACGCUGGCGGCGUGCCUAAUACAUGCAAGUCGAGCGAACAGACGAGGAGCUUGCUCCUCGGACGUUAGCGGCGGACGGGUGAGUAACACGUGGAUAACCUACCUAUAAGACUGGGAUAACUUCGGGAAACCGGAGCUAAUACCGGAUAAUAUAUUGAACCGCAUGGUUCAAUAGUGAAAGACGGUUUUGCUGUCACUUAUAGAUGGAUCCGCGCCGCAUUAGCUAGUUGGUAAGGUAACGGCUUACCAAGGCAACGAUGCGUAGCCGACCUGAGAGGGUGAUCGGCCACACUGGAACUGAGACACGGUCCAGACUCCUACGGGAGGCAGCAGUAGGGAAUCUUCCGCAAUGGGCGAAAGCUUGACGGAGCAACGCCGCGUGAGUGAUGAAGGUCUUCGGAUCGUAAAACUCUGUUAUUAGGGAAGAACAAAUGUGUAAGUAACUAUGCACGUCUUGACGGUACCUAAUCAGAAAGCCACGGCUAACUACGUG
rnacentral:rRNA from 1 species